GAUGAACGCUGGCGGUAUGCCCUACACAUGCAAGUCGUACGAGAGUUUUUAACUCAAGUGGCGGACGGGUGAGUAACACGUAAGAAUUUACCUUUAGGAGGGGGACAACAACGGGAAACUGUUGCUAAUACCCCAUAUGGCUUUCGAGUGAAAUGGAUUUAUCCGCCUAGAGAGAGGCUUGCGGCUGAUUAGCUUGUGGUGAGGUAAUGGCUCACCAAGGCGACGAUCAGUAUCUGGUUUGAGAGGACGAUCAGACACACUGGAACUGAGACACGGUCCAGACUCCUACGGGA
rnacentral:rRNA from 1 species